rnacentral:lncRNA from 1 species
GGGGUCUUCCGGUUGUAGAGGGGCCGAGCAAAAAGAUUGUUGGGAAUGUAAGCAUAAGAGACAUAAGACACUUGCUGCUCAAACCCGAACUUUUCUCCAAUUUCAGGUACAGUGAAAGACAUGCAGCUUUUAACCUGCAUAGCAUUAUCUCAAAUUUAAUGUUGAAAUUUUAAAUUACCAUAGGAAAACUACUAUUUACUAACAAGUGAUAAUUAGCAAACAGAGCCAUGGGAAAAUUCGAUGAUUCCGAGUUAGGUCACUACUGAAGAUGCUUACCUAGUCUGCCUCUCCAAAACUUAUAUCUACUAUUUUAGCAAACAGUGUUCCAUGCAACCAAGGGUGGUUUAACAAUGCUUUUAUCUACUUGAUUCUUAAUUACAGGCAGCUCACCGUGGAGGAUUUCAUUAGUACUGUUGUCUCAACCGGCCAAGAAAUUGGGAGAGUCACCACACCAAUAACAUGCAAGGUAGAUUCAACUCUUGGUAGUGUGAUCCAGUGCCUUGCCACCAAAAGGGUGCACAGAAUCUAUAUAGUGGAUGAGAAUGAAGUUACAGGUGUAAUUACCCUUAGAGAUGUGAUCUCUUGCUUCAUAUUUGAGCCCCCAAACUUUUUCGAUAACUAUUUUGGGUUUUCAGUGAAAGAAAUGUUGAAUAAGUGAACUGUCUCUUGUAGUCACAACCCAAGAAGAUGCCAGACAUGCAAUUGAAUUUGAUUUAGUUUACAAUUUCUUGCCAUCUAAUCUAAGCAGUUCCUCUACAUGUAAUUUCAAAUGAACCAAAUCCAAUGAAAUUUACUGCUUUCCUUCCAUGAGCUUAAAUAGACCAAAAGUUAGGUCCAGAGAGGCAAAUACUGAGUGGUGAAACUUUUUUCCCAGUAACCUGGAAUAUACCAAGAAGAUGAAAAGUUUGAAUAUGGUAGAGCGAAAAAAAAUUUCGGAUGCUAUAAAAAGUUCCUUCUCAUGUCACGGAUAUUGAACUAAAUCCGGGGAAUUUUCUCAAUCCUCUGUCAUCUAUCAUUAGUCUUAUUCUUUCCACAUCUCCCCACCUUCCUACUGCAGCGUAUAUGCUGGACAGUAUCACAAAAGGUUCUGGAGUCUCUGGCUCCAACUCUGAAAGCUUCAUAGCUAUUUCUUCUCCUAGCUCAUAAUUUAAGUGACACUUACAAGCACCAAGCAGAGAAGCAAAAAUUGCAGCGGGAGGGUCUGGAAGUUCUUGUAUUAGAUCUUUGGCUUCCUCUAGUUUGCCGCAUCGACCCAAAAGAUCAACCAUGCAACCAAAAUGCUCAAGAUUUGGGCUCAAGUUACAAACUUUAUUCAUCAUUCUGAAAACUUGUAAUCCUCUGUCAACUUGUCCAGUGUGACUACAUGAAGAUAUAACACCAAUGAAAGUUGCUGAAUUUGGCUUUACUUUUUCCUCCCGCAUCAAAUCAAAAAUUUCAAAUGCUGAUCCAUUCUCUCCAUUUCUUCCAUAACCGGAAAUCAUUGCAUUCCAGAAUGCCGGAUCAUCAGGCUUUGACUCAAACUGAUCAAAGAUUUUACGCGCACAAGAGGAAUACCCACAGUUCAUAUACAUGUCAAUGAGUGCUGUAGCCAUGAACUCCUCGUUACUAAUACCACUUCUUAUAGCAAGACCAUGGAUCUCUUUUCCCUGCUUUAAAGCACACAAGAUUGAACAAGCUGGCAAAAGACUAGUAAUGCAUUUUAAACUCAGUUCUACACCAGCAGACUGCAUCUUCUCAAAAUACUUAAAAGCUUCAAAUCCUUUCCCCAACUGCGAAAACCCCCUUAUCAUUGAAUUCCAUGUUGCUGAAUCAGGUUUCAUUCCUUCAAAUUUUACCUCCUCGAACAGUGCAACAGCCAUCUCACUUUGAUUGUUUAACAUCAACCCUGCUAUCAUUGAAUUCCAAGUUACCAAGUUCCUGCUUCCUUUCAUCUCCUUGAAAACAUCAUAGCCCCAUUGCCAAGCCCGACAUUUUGAAUACAUAUCAACAAGUGCAGUUCCAACCAUAGUAUCAAACUGUGUCUCAAUUUUCAUAAGAACCCCAUGAACCUGUCUGCCAAACUGUAGGUACAAAAGACUUGCACAUGCAGAUAUAAUAGAAAUGAAAGUAACACAAUUGGGUUGUCCUACUUGACAAUUUCCCAUCAUGUUCUUAAACACCUGCAAUACCAUAAGUGGAACCCCAUUUUGCAGAAGCCCUGAAAGAAAAGCAUUAUAGCUGACAACAUUCUUAUCAGUCAUCUCUACAAACAUGUUAAUGGCUAAAACUAUUUCUCCACGGUUAGAAUACAUAGUCAGCAACGAAGUUGCCACGUAAACGUCCAACUCAACUCCCAACUUAAUGGCCAAAGUAUGAACUUGCAUACCAAGUUCAAGACUUUGACAAGCUGGCAAGACGGUAGCUAUAGUGAGUGAAUUAGGCCUCCACAAUCCAAAACAAAUCUCCUUAAACAAUAUAAGCGCUUCAUUACAAUAUCCGUUUCUCCAAAACCCGGAAAUGAUCGUGUUUAAGGAAGCCAAGUUUCCGUCAGGCAUUUCAUAGAACACCUUGAGGGCACAUUCAAAGCGGUGCAAUUUCAUGUACAUAUCCGUGAGAGCAGUGGCAGCAUAGAUGUCAUGGGAAAACCCAGUCUUGAUGAGAUGGGUGUGGAGGAUUUGGCCUUGAAUUGGUGAGUUGAGCUUGGCACAAGCUUUGAAGAGUGGAGGGAAUGUGAAUUUGUUGGGAAGCAAUGAUGCAAUGAGGUCUUCACCGUAUAGAUGGAGUGCUUCUUUGUACAAUCCAUUUCUCACCAGUUUUAUUAUUUGCUGUUUCAUGGGAUUAUAGCAAAGAAAGAAGGAAAAAGAAGAGAGAGAAAACAAAGAAUCACCUAUUAUUUGAAGUGAAGGAUGAAAAUAUCAUAUUUAAAUAAUGAUCGAAAAGUAGAUUUUCCGAAAUCAGGUUGGAUUACCGUUUGUCCAUUCCGGUCUCUUCUAAUUUACAGUUUAAAAUACUUAUAAAUUCAAAAUAAUUAUGUUAAAUAAUGGUACCUUGGUUCCAUCUUCUCCUUUAGAACCCUAGCCUUUACCCUUAGAUUUAUUUGGGGAUAUAUGACCUGACGACCCACCCACGUGUAUACGUCCUC